CACGUAGGGGGCGAGCGUUGUCCGGAUUUAUUGGGCGUAAAGAGCUCGUAGGCGGCUCGGUAAGUCGGGUGUGAAAACUCUAGGCUCAACCUAGAGACGCCACCUGAUACUGCUGUGGCUAGAGUCCGGUAGGGGAGCAUGGAAUUCCUGGUGUAGCGGUGAAAUGCGCAGAUAUCAGGAGGAACACCAGUGGCGAAGGCGGUGCUCUGGGCCGGUACUGACGCUGAGGAGCGAAAGCGUGGGGAGCGAACAGG
rnacentral:rRNA from 1 species